UGGGUGGUGGAAGGAUCAUCAAGUGAUUAAUUUAGUGCACAGAAGUUAGUUAGUUACACUUUUUUACACAGAUUCUCAAUCAUUUAUUUUAUCUAAAGCUAUGGUGCUGGUUUAGCACGCAAUUAGUCGCAACGAUAUAUAACAUUUUAACUAUCUAUACUUUUCCAAAAAUACAAAUAUCAGUAGUAUUGACAAUAUUAUCUUCAUUAAUGGCGGAACAAUGAAGAACGCGGCUAAACAAAAGGAGAUUGAAUUUCCUGCACUAAAGGUGGAACAAUGAAGAAAACAGGCAGACAAAAGGAGAUUGAAUAAACUCAUCAGAUGAAGGUUACUCGAAAUUUAAUCCACCAUAAAAAGUUUUACUUUUUUCAUAACUUAUUUGAGAUCUGAUAUACCACCACCACAUCACUUACAUAUAAUUAUCAUCAAUUGUCCUCGAAUGAAACUUUUUGGAAGUUCUUUUUUUUUUUUUUUAAUACUGUUAUACUUAAAUAUUACAAUUAAUAUUUACAAAUAGAUUAGAUAAUUGUGACCUUUAUCGUAGCAUGUACUCCUCUGAAGCACUGCCCAAAUUCUUUAAAUCCUCUUUAAUAUUUGAAGGGUGUCAAGACUGUCUCCACUCAAUUAUUUGAUAAUUGAAGGACUAAAACUAACCCGCAUAAUGUUGCCAAAUUCUUUAAACCAUCCACUCAAUUAUUUAAU
rnacentral:lncRNA from 1 species